UAAAAUUUAAAAUUAAAAUACUAAAAUAGUAAAUAAUUAUUUAUUGAAACUUAAAUGAUUUGGCGGUAUUUUAGUUCAUUUAGAGGAAUCUGUUUAAUAAUUGAUAUUCCACGAAUAAACUUACUUAAUUUAUAAUUUUGUAUAUCGUUGUUAAAAAAAUAUUUUUUAAUAAAAUUAAUAUUUAAAAAUUAUUAUAUAAACUUAAAUCAGAUCAAGAUGCAGAUUAUAAUUAAGAAUAUAAUGGAUUACAAUAAAUUUAUUUAAAUGAAUAUUAAUUUGUAAAAAUUAUUUGAAAGUGGAUUUAAAUGUAAUUUUAUUUAAUUUAAUAAGGUGAUUAAUAAUUAAGAUAUGU
rnacentral:rRNA from 1 species